UAAAAGAAAAAAGAAAAUAUAAUGAUAGUAACAAUAAUGUUAAAUUAAUUAAUUUAGUAAUAAAAUAGCAAAAAGAGCAAAAACAAAAAAAGGGGGCCAAAUCGAACUUUUAAACAAAAAAUUGGGGAAAAUCUGAAAUAAAAAUAAGGUAAGGGACCACAUUGAAAAGCGCAAAUAACAUAGAGGGACCAAAAGGAAAAAUAUCCCCGUCCUCAAAACACAGCGCUUUACACGGGGCCGAAUUGAAAUAAAAGAAAAAUCAUAGAGCAAAAUUGAAAAUAAAAAUAAACUGUAUUAAAAAGAUGGAAAAUGCGGAAGGACUAAAAGGGUAAAUAGACCCUUAGUAAAAAAACACGCGAAUCCUGGGGUCUAUGGGUCGGAUCUCGGGCUAAAAGCCAAAACAACGCCGUUUUGGGGCUAUGGAAGCCAGCCCUAAAACGACGUCAUUUAAUGCGUCUAUAAAAGCUCAAUUUAAAAAAAAAAAACAUUCAGCCGUCACUUUUAAAAAAAAUCUAAUUAACUCUCUCAGUCUUUCUCAGCCUCCAGAGUUCCGGCCGUAGCUCCGACCAUUCGUCCCCGCACCGGCCGUCGGUUGCCAACGACGGCGCACCGUAUACGGCAGCCAAAAACUAAAAAUUUUCUCUUUUUUUUGGUGAUCGAAAACCGGUGGUGGCAGAGCAGUUGACGGUGGCAGACCUCGGGGUGCAGGCGUGCGGCGCAGGAGCACUAGGGUUUCUAUUUUCCUCUGAAAACAGUUAGGUUGUGGGCUUAGGAUUUUUUUUAUUAUUUGGGGCCAUGUGGGCCCGCUGUGAUUUCGACUGUAAUAGGGUUGCUCUUUUUUUUUUUUUUUUUGUCUUGUUUUAUAUUGGCCCCUCUUUUUUUGUUUUGGUUUUCUAGCAGGCCGGGUAAAUUUGGACUUCUACAGACUGUUUAUUUUUUUAAUUAGGUCUUUAAGCCGUUUUUAAAUUUAAUUAGAAAAUAGGUCUUUUUUGACCGGAGACGUAUAGGAUAAAACUAUUAGCAUUUAA